rnacentral:lncRNA from 1 species
GGAGUCCAAGUAAAAUUUCGAAACAAGUUUAAGAGUUCGUAGAAGACUAAGGCCUUAUUAUUAAGUUUUACAUCCAUGCAAUGGGACAAAGUCCCUGCAUCUAUGCAUUAUACAUUACAUAGAGUAGAUCUAGGCAUAACAUAGACUCCAUUACAUUCUAAUUAAUUUUUACAUCCAUGCAACGGGACAAAGUCCACAUUACCUAGAGUUAUGGUCGAUUUGCUUUAGCCUAUCAAAACAGUCCACCGUGGACAGAUUCAGAUUUAUUUAAAUUUUAAGGGCAAUAUGGUCAUUUUCCAUCACCUCAUGGACGAAAAUUGGUCAUUAUAUACAUAUACUUAGCCUCAUAUCCAUCAUUUAUCAUCCAAAUUAUUGAAGAAUAAGAAACCCUAGCCUAAGUUCAACUCCAAUUAUCUUGUGAUUCAACCGUAGAAAAUCCAAAUUGAUUCCGUAGUUGUGUUCACCGUCUCGAGGGCUUCGAGAAGCACCCCUUAUUUGUGCCAACAGGACUUCGAAAUCAAAAGGGCCAUUUUAUGGUAAGGAUGUAAAUUAUGUUGGUGUUAUUUAUAUGGAUAUGUAUAUAUAUAUAUAUAUGCAUGUGAGCAUAAGAAGUAUGUUAUUUGAUUGUUGUUGAAAGAUGAUUGGAAAUGAUGUUGGAUUAUUCUUGUGCAUAGUUGGAUUAUGUUGAAUUGUGAAGGUAUUUGGUGUGAUGAUGUGGUAUUGAAAUGAUGAUUAUAUAUAUAUAUACACAUAAACCGAUUGUUCAAGUUGGUUUUUGGAAUGUUUUGCAAAUAUUGGUAGUAUGGAAUUAUGGAAGAGAAUUGUGGUGUUGGGUUGCUAAUACUAGAUGCCAAACAUUUCAUUGUAGAUAAGUGAUUUGUAAAGGCGGGAAGUUGUGUUGAAUUGGUAUCCGAAUCUACAACGAGGUAUGUAAAGCAUACUCUAACGAUGUUCUUUGGCAUGAAAACACCAAUGUUCCAUCAAGUAAGAUUCCGAGGUUGUCCAAAAACAUGUAUUGUUCUACAUUACCAACGAAGUUGUUUCCAUUCUAUAAAGUGUCAAAAUGUUUCAUUGAUAUACCGAAAGGCUCCUAUUUCAUUGUUGUGAUAUUGAUGAUUCCGAAACACAUUGUUGAUGUACCAAUGAGUCUUUAUUACAUCGUUAUUGUAUAGAAAGUCUAUUACUUGGUUCCUAUUGAUGUAUCAUUAUUCCAAAGGUACUAUAUUGGCAUGAACACUAAUGUAAUAAUCUCAAAAGCUUUUGAACUAAGUUAUUGGAAAGAUCUCUUAUGUGUGUUACUUGAUAUACGUGUGGGUAGUAUCUCGGGGGCUUAAGCCUAGCAUAGGCCGAUCCCGCUAUUUGAUAUGAUUACAGUUGAUAUGUACUGGGGGCAUCCUAAUGGUCACAGUACGGUACAGUAUUGAUUAUUAUUAGGUGGUUGGAGGUUCGGGAGGAGGAGGUAAUGGCGAAUGAUAAUUGUAAAGAAUGAAAUGAACGAAUGUAUACCGUUCCACAAAUGUGUUUGAAUUCAAGAACCCAAUUCACAUUAAUGAUAAGAUAAUGUACAUGAUCCUAAAAGUGUUUAUGAAGUGUGGUUCACUUCUAUUAUGAUUUAUUCACUUGCGUCUGAUUUUCUUGAUCCCCAUACCACAUAUGAUUAUUUACAGCUUUACAUACUCAGUACAUAUUUCGUACUGACGUCCCUUACGGGGGACCUGCAUUUCAUGCUGCAGGCACAGGUGCUUCAGCUCAUUCACAGUAUAGAUAGGAGCCAGGUCAUACAGCUAUUGUUGGUGAGCUCCAGUUUGCUUCGGAGCUUUCCGAGUCGGUCCCUUAUGUUUGUAGGCAUAACAUGACGAUCAUGCUUCGGCGGCCAUUCCAAUUCUAUCAUCCAGUUUGAACACAAAGGGCUUUGGGUUCUUUGAGAGAACCAAACGAUGAUAU